UUCUGAGUUAAAUAACAGACUGGAGGACCAGAGAAAGGUUCUGAGUUAAAUAACAGACUGGAGAACCAGAGAAAGGUUCUGAGUUAAAUAACAGACUGGAGGACCAGAGAAAGGUUCUGAGUUAAAUAACAGACUGGAGAACCAGAGAAAGGUUCUGAGUUAAAUAACAGACUGGAGAACCAGAGAAAGGUUCUGAGUUAAAUAACAGACUGGAGAACCAGAGAAAGGUUCUGGGUUAAAUAACAGACUGGAGGACCAGAGAAAGGUUCUGGGUUAAAUAACAGACUGGAGGACCAGAGAAAGGUUCUGAGUUAAAUAACAGACUGGAGGACCAGAGAAAGGUUCUGAGUUAAAUAACAGACUGGAGGACCAGAGAAAGGUUCUGAGUUAAAUAACAGACUGGAGGACCAGAGAAAGGUUCUGAGUUAAAUAAAAGAGAAACCAGAGAAAUGUUCUGUGUUAAAUAACAGACUGGAGGACCAGAGAAAGGUUCUGGGUUAAAUAACAGACUGGAGAACCAGAGAAAGGUUCUGAGUUAAAUAACAGACUGGAGGACCAGAGAAAGGUUCUGAGUUAAAUAACAGACUGGAGAACCAGAGAAAGGUUCUGAGUUAAAUAACAGACUGGAGAACCAGAGAAAGGUUCUGUGUUAAAUAACAGACUGGAGGACCAGAGAAAGGUUCUGAGUUAAAUAACAGACUGGAGGACCAGAGAAAGGUUCUGAGUUAAAUAACAGACUGGAGGACCAGAGAAAGGUUCUGAGUUAAAUAACAGACUGGAGGACCAGAGAAAGGUUCUGAGUUAAAUAACAGACUGGAGGACCAGAGAAAGGUUCUGAGUUAAAUAACAGACUGGAGGACCAGAGAAAGGUUCUGAGUUAAAUAACAGACUGGAGAACCAGAGAAAGGUUCUGAGUUAAAUAACAGACUGGAGAACCAGAGAAAGGUUCUGAGUUAAAUAACAGACUGGAGAACCAGAGAAAGGUUCUGAGUUAAAUAACAGACUGGAGAACCAGAGAAAGGUUCUGAGUUAAAUAACAGACUGGAGGA